UGAAAUAUUCUUAUCAAUCUUAGUGAACCAUUACUUGAUUUGAUGAUUUUGGAAACUAUGUAGACUUCUUCCAUUACUUGGUCGGGUAGAACAUCCAUCAGCUUGACAAGUCAUUUGAACACUGAUUAACGGACAUGUCAUGCUGGAUACUAGGACUUUGUGGUAAUUAGAUAUCCGUGGUCAUUAGUUUUCAAGAUGGCGUCUUCCCGAGAAUUGAGAGUCGAUUUUAAAAAUCUAAUAACUCACUUAUCUAGACGAAUAAACCUUUAAUAUUUUGGGAAUAUGCUUAUUUAUUUAGGAUAAACAUA
rnacentral:lncRNA from 1 species